GGCAGUUCUCGGGUGACGCACUCCGGAAUCGGGCUCCCUCCUCUCUGGUUCCAGGUGCGUCACCCAAGAACCACA
rfam:Myotis lucifugus cont2.57934, whole genome shotgun sequence.